rnacentral:antisense_RNA from 1 species
CAGUAAUGACCAGACACAUCACACCCGCCUUCUAGAAGCCCUCCCUCACAAACCGGAUCAACUGCUAUGAUAAAGAAACCUUUUAUUUGCUUGAAUAGUUUGGUUUCCUUCUUUUCAUGAUUUGCCAUGAGAAGAACCCACCCAGGUAAUCACUGCUUGCUCAGAUCCCAGCAAAUUCUAGAUCCCAGAACUAGUGCUCUUAGAGCCAAGGCCAGCCGAUCCAAGUCUGGACCACUGCUCAGAUGAGCCAAGCCUGAAUUUGGGAGUGGUCGCGUUACAGAGCAUUACCCUGGCAAUAACUGACUGAUGCAGAGAUGUAAAUAGACAUCACUGGUGGAGCCCCCAGGAAAGCUCUUUAACAGAAGACAGACUCAGCUGGCAGGUUUUUUGCCCCUUUCCCUUCUCUUCCCUUGAAUGAAGACAGGCUCAAUGCUUGGAGGGGUGAGAGGAGGCAGCCGUCUUACAACCACAGGUCACAGGAAGACACUAAACAAGGCCGUGUGGAAAGACAGAAGGAGCCUCCAUCCCUCAGCACCACAGAGACAUUGUAUCAGCCUGGAAAUGCCUAAAUCUGAACUUCCUCUUACCUAAGAAAAAUAAAACCUCAAUUUGAUU